UACGUAGGGUGCAAGCGUUGUCCGGAAUUAUUGGGCGUAAAGAGCUCGUAGGCGGUUUGUUGCGUCGGCUGUGAAAUCCCGAGGCUCAACCUCGGGUCUGCAGUCGAUACGAGCAAACUAGAGUGUUGCAGGGGAGACUGGAAUUCCUGGUGUAGCGGUGAAAUGCGCAGAUAUCGAUCGGAACACCCAUGGCGAAGGCAGCUCGCUGGCCUAAAACUGACGCUGAGGCGCGAAAGCGUGGGGAGCAAACAGG
rnacentral:rRNA from 1 species